ensembl:miRNA Gm26237 predicted gene, 26237
GGUUUCUCUGUGUAGCCCUGGCUGUCCUGGCACUCACUCUGUAGACCAGACUGGCCUCGAACUCAGAAAUCCACCUGCCUCUGCCUCCCGAGUGCUGGAAUUAAAGGCGUGCGCUACCAAUGCCC